rnacentral:rRNA from 1 species
ACACAUGCAAGUCGAACGAAGCUUGACGGAUGAUUUCUUCGGAAUGAAACCAGAUAUGACUUAGUGGCGGACGGGUGAGUAACACGUGAGCAACCUGCCUUUCAGAGGGGGAUAACGGCUGGAAACGGUCGCUAAUACCGCAUGAUGUGUUCGGAUGGCAUCAUUUGAACAUCAAAGAUUUAUCGCUGAAAGAUGGGCUCGCGUCUGACUAGAUAGUUGGUGGGGUAACGGCCUACCAAGUCUACGAUCAGUAGCCGGACUGAGAGGUUGAACGGCCACAUUGGGACUGAGAUACGGCCCAGACUCCUACGGGAGGCAGCAGUGGGGAAUAUUGCACAAUGGGGGAAACCCUGAUGCAGCAACGCCGCGUGAAGGAUGACGGUUUUCGGAUUGUAAACUUCUUUUCUUAGUGACGAAGACAGUGACGGUAGCUAAGGAAUAAGCAUCGGCUAACUACGUGCCAGCAGCCGCGGUAAUACGUAGGAUGCAAGCGUUAUCCGGAUUUACUGGGUGUAAAGGGAGCGCAGGCGGGACUGCAAGUUGGAUGUGAAAUACCGUGGCUUAACCACGGAACUGCAUCCAAAACUGUAGUUCUUGAGUGAAGUAGAGGCAAGCGGAAUUCCGAGUGUAGCGGUGAAAUGCGUAGAUAUUCGGAGGAACACCAGUGGCGAAGGCGGCUUGCUGGGCUUUAACUGACGCUGAGGCUCGAAAGUGUGGGGAGCAAACAGGAUUAGAUACCCUGGUAGUCCACACUGUAAACGAUGAUAGCUAGGUGUGGGGGGUCUGACCCCUUCCGUGCCGGA